AAUGCCGAAAAUUUUAAAUAAAGAACUUCCGAAAACAAAGAAGUCUUAUUCAGAAUCGUCCAGUGCAUUAUAUGAUCAAAAUAAUAAGCCAUCAUCAAGUGUUUUAGAUUCUGUAAUAUAUUUUAAAGAAAUCAUACGCCAACAGGAUCUUUUUAAAGCUGAAAUUUGACAACAAAGCGAAGAUAUACGAAUCAUUAAAAAUGCAGUAGAGAAUAAUUUGCAUCACAAUGUAAAUGACGCAGUAGGCAAUACUAGAGAGCAAUCUAUUUUUUAUUCUUGCAAUAUUCCCAUACAGAAUGAAAGGCAAUUAGAGGAGCAGAUGAAAGACUCCUUAAAAAUUAAUGAGAAUUUUGAUACAUCGAUUUUAGAAGUUUCAAAAAUUGGAGGGAAGAGUUCUUACGAGUUUGUAAAACGCAACUUAAGUCAAAUUCUCACAAAUGAACUAGCUUCUAAAUACAGUUGGCUAGGAAAAAAAAUAAGCGUGUAUUCCGGACAUUAAAGCUAGCACAGUUAUUAAUCGGUACGUUUUAAAAAAUAUUUAUAUACUUGUUUUUUAAGGUUCCUGAUCAUUCGCCAUUGCCAUGUUGAAUCAUGACGUUAGAGAAAUGACACGCUAAGAAUUCUUGCGUGUCGUUUCUAAAGCAAAAGAUAUUUAAAUAAAACACUUCAGGUUAUUUUUAUUAGCAAAUUUUUAAAGUUCGAAAAUGUUUUUUCUCCCUUGAUAAUUAAUAAUAAGUAGCCGUAAAAUGUGAAUGUAAUACGAUUUCUAAUCAUAUAGACGUUGUGUAUGCGCAAGCCUAGUCAUAACUAGGAUUCGCAUUACAUUCAUAUUUUAUAGCUGCUUAUUAAUUAUUAAAAGAAAAGGAUAGUUUUUGAACAAUUUUAUAAGUGUGCUAAAGCGAUUUGAAGUAUUCUAUCAUUCAAAUAUUUUUUUAUUUGGAAGUAGCACAUAAGAAUUCUCAACGUAUCAUUUCUCGUUUCUGACGUCACGAUUCAACAUACUGCAGCUGAUGUUAAGUAGCUACAUAUAUGCCGAUUUUUGAUAUAGCUGCAGGCAAAAAGGUUAACGCUACCUUCACUAAAAAGGAUAUUGAAAAAGGGAUUCAAAAAUGGUUAAAAAGGGCAAAGGAGAGGUGUGAUGCGGAACAAAAGAAAUUAAAUAUUCAAAGACAACCAGAAGAUUUAAUAUUAUAAGAUAUUUAAGGCCUGUUUUUUAUGUUUCAGUUCCUAUUUUGUUUAUAAGUUUGUUCGCAUUUUUUAAAUUUAUA